rnacentral:rRNA from 1 species
UACGAAGGGGGCUAGCGUUGCUCGGAAUCACUGGGCGUAAAGCGCACGUAGGCGGAUUGUUAAGUCAGGGGUGAAAUCCUGGAGCUCAACUCCAGAACUGCCUUUGAUACUGGCGAUCUUGAGUCCGGGAGAGGUGAGUGGAACUGCGAGUGUAGAGGUGAAAUUCGUAGAUAUUCGCAAGAACACCAGUGGCGAAGGCGGCUCACUGGACCGGUACUGACGCUGAGGCGCGAAAGCGUGGGGAGCAAACAGG